rnacentral:rRNA from 1 species
GACGAACGCUGGCGGCGUGCCUAAUACAUGCAAGUUGAGCGAUGAAGAUUGGUGCUUGCACCAAUUUGAAGAGCAGCGCACGGGUGAGUAACGCGUGGGGAAUCUGCCUUUGAGCGGGGGACAACAUUUGGAAACGAAUGCUAAUACCGCAUAACAACUUUAAACAUAAGUUUUAAGUUUGAAAGAUGCAAUUGCAUCACUCAAAGAUGAUCCCGCGUUGUAUUAGCUAGUUGGUGAGGUAAAGGCUCACCAAGGCGAUGAUACAUAGCCGACCUGAGAGGGUGAUCGGCCACAUUGGGACUGAGACACGGCCCAAACUCCUACGGGAGGCAGCAGGAGGGAAUCUUCGGCAAUGGACGAAAGUCUGACCGAGAAACGCCGCGUGAGUGAAGAAGGUUUUCGGAUCGUAAAACUCUGUUGGUAGAGAAGAACGUUGGUGAGAGUGGAAAGCUCAUCAAGUGACGGUAACUACCCAGAAAGGGACGGCUAACUACGUG